rnacentral:tRNA from 1 species
GCCUGGGUGGCUCAGUCGGUUGAGCGUCUGACUUCAGCUCAGGUCAUGAUCUCACGGUUCGUGAGUUCAAGCCCCACCUUGGGCU